AUUGAACGCUGGCGGCAUGCUUUACACAUGCAAGUCGAACGGCAGCGCGGGCUUCGGCCUGGCGGCGAGUGGCGAACGGGUGAGUAAUGCAUCGGAACGUGCCCAGUAGUGGGGGAUAGCCCGGCGAAAGCCGGAUUAAUACCGCAUACGACCUGAGGGUGAAAGCGGGGGACCGAAAGGCCUCGCGCUAUUGGAGCAGCCGAUGUCGGAUUAGCUAGUUGGUGGGGUAAAGGCUUACCAAGGCGACGAUCCGUAGCUGGUCUGAGAGGACGACCAGCCACACUGGGACUGAGACACGGCCCAGACUCCUACGGGAGGCAGCAGUGGGGAAUUUUGGACAAUGGGGGCAACCCUGAUCCAGCCAUGCCGCGUGCGGGAAGAAGGCCUUCGGGUUGUAAACCGCUUUUGUUCGGGAAGAAAUCCUCUGGGCUAAUACCCCGGGGGGAUGACGGUACCGGAAGAAUAAGCACCGGCUAACUACGUG
rnacentral:rRNA from 1 species